GCAGGUACUGUAGUUUUAUUUUUCCCACUUGAUAACCACCUAAGGGCACGCCCCCACCCAGCUGUAUAUAAAUAAAGUAUAAUAUGAACUACAGUCUCUUUCUAUUCAGAGAAGAAAUCUUAAAUUAACAACAGCAAAUCUAAACAAAGAUGAUGAUAAAAUUUUAAUUGGCUUAAGAAUUAAAAGGAUACUAGAUACUAUGUUUUUAGGAUUUUUAAGUAUCCAUGAAAAUUCUUUCAUUCCUAAAAUAUUUUAUAGUUGAUUUCUUUUGACCUCAGUUAUUUUGGGGCAUAAUCCUUUUAUUAUCGUAUAAUGAAUCUCUAAUUCCACCUAUUUACUUAAUAUUUUUCCAUAUGCUAAACACAUGCAUACACACACAUUUUCCACUUUUCGUUUGAGGUCAUAUAAUUCAGUUAGUGAAAUAUUUCACUCUUCUGUAAGUUUAAAAACUAAAUCCUAAGCAGAGAUGCAACACUGGGCCACAGUUUUAAUAAAAUGAAGACAGUCUCUAGGCUCAUACUCUUUUAUGACAUCUGAUUUCUCUACCAUAUGUGCAGCACAACAGUGACAUCUUAAGGCCAAGUAACUAAAGCUCCUUUAGCCAGAGAAAGAACUUGAAUUGGGAUCUGUGUUCAA
rnacentral:lncRNA from 1 species